GAUGAACGCUGGCGGCGUGCCUAAUACAUGCAAGUAGAACGCUGAAGCUUGGUGCUUGCACCGAGCGGAUGAGUUGCGAACGGGUGAGUAACGCGUAGGUAACCUACCUCUUAGCGGGGGAUAACUAUUGGAAACGAUAGCUAAUACCGCAUAAAAGUCGACAUUGCAUGAUAUCGAUUUGAGAGGUGCAACUGCAUCACUAAGAGAUGGACCUGCGUUGUAUUAGCUAGUUGGUGAGGUAACGGCUCACCAAGGCGACGAUACAUAGCCGACCUGAGAGGGUGAUCGGCCACACUGGGACUGAGACACGGCCCAGACUCCUACGGGAGGCAGCAGUAGGGAAUCUUCGGCAAUGGACGGAAGUCUGACCGAGCAACGCCGCGUGAGUGAAGAAGGUUUUCGGAUCGUAAAGCUCUGUUGUAAGAGAAGAACGAGUGUGAGAGUGGAAAGUUCACACUGUGACGGUAACUUACCAGAAAGGGACGGCUAACUACGUGCCAGCAGCCGCGGUAAUACGUAGGUCCCGAGCGUUAUCCGGAUUUAUUGGGCGUAAAGCGAGCGCAGGCGGUUAGAUAAGUCUGAAGUUAAAGGCUGUGGCUUAACCAUAGUACGCUUUGGAAACUGUUUAACUUGAGUGCAGAAGGGGAGAGUGGAAUUCCAUGUGUAGCGGUGAAAUGCGUAGAUAUAUGGAGGAACACCGGUGGCGAAAGCGGCUCUCUGGUCUGUAACUGACGCUGAGCUCGAAGCGUGGGGAGCAACANG
rnacentral:rRNA from 1 species